CUUGUAAACUGCUUCUCUCUAGACCCAGGAUACAGAAAUACUGCAAGCUGCGUUUGCUACACUCACGCUACGGAUAUCCCAGAUAUAGCGUACUCCAACUCCCAGGCUACAGAACUCUUGUAAACUGCUUCAUUCUACACCCAGGAUACGGAACUCUGUUAAACUGCAUCUCUCUACCCCAAUGUCACAAAAAGCACGUGAGCUGCAUCUCCUACACUCAGGCUAUAGAAAUCCCACUUAUUUCGAAUGUCUACUCCCAGGCUACAGAACUCUUGUAAGCUUCUUCUUUCUAGACCUAGGAUACAGAAAUACGGUAAGCUGUGUCUGCUGCACCAAGGCUACAGAUAUCCCAGAUAUUGCGAAUGCCUACUCCCAGGCUACAGAACUGGUGCAAACUGCUUCUCUCAAUACCCAGGUUACAGAAAUCCUGUACAGUGCGAAUGCCUACCCCCAGGCAUUCAUUCUACAGCUCAUAGCAAACCCGCAUAUUGCGUAUUGCUAGUCCCAGGCUCCAGAACUCUUGUAAACGCCUUCAUUCUACACCCAGGAUACAGAAUUCUGGUAAACUGCAUCUCUCUACCCAACCUAACAACAAGCACAUGAGCUGCAUCUCCCACAUUCAGGUUAUAGGAAACCCACAUAUUGUGUAUUGCACACUCCCACGCUACAGAACUCGGUAAACUGUUUCUCUCUGUAAGCAGCUUCCACAAUUCCCAUAAACUGCAUCUCUCCACACCCAGCUUAUAGAACUCCCGGAGGCUGCAUUUCCCUGCAACCACGUUACAGAACACCCAUUAGCUGCAUCUCCCACACACGGGCUAUAGAAAACCUGCAGAGUGCAUAUUGCUACUCCCACACGACAGAACUCUGUAAAGUGCUUCUAACUACACCGAGCGUACAGAAUCCCAUAAACUGCAUCUCUCACCACCCAGCUUACUGAACUCCCCUAAGCUGCGUCUCCUACAGUUAAGCUACACAAAAACCGCAAAUCGCGUAUUGCUACUCCCAAGCUACACAACACUGUAUACUGCUUUUCCAUAUACCAGGGAAACAGAACUCUCAUCAACUACAUUGCCCUUCACCAAUGACACAAAACCCCCGUUACCUUGUCUCCCUCACUCGUGUUAUGGAAAACCUGCAUAUGGUGCAUUGCUACUUCCAUGCCACAGAACUCUGUAAAGUACUUCUCUGUACAUCCAGACUACAGAACUCUUGUACACUGCUUCUCUCUAGACCAAGGAUACAGAAAUACCGCAAGCUGUGUCUGCUAUACUCACGCUACAGAUGUUCCAGAUAUUGCGUACUCCUACUCCCAGGCUACAGAACUCUUGUACACUGCAUAUCCCAAGACCCAGGAUACUGAAAUACCACAAGCUGUGUCUUCUACACAUAAGCCACAGGUAUCCCAGAUAUUGGGAAUGCCUACUCCCAGGCUACAGAACUGGUGCAAACUGCUUCUCUCAACACUCAGGUUACUGAAAUCCUUUACAGUGCGAACGCCUACCCCCAGGCAUUCAUUCUACAGCUCAUAGCAAACCCGCAUAUUGCGUAUUGCUAGUCCCAGGCUCCAGAACUCUUGUAAACGCCUUCAUUCUACACCCAGGAUACAGAAUUCUGGUAAACUGCAUCUCUCUACCCAACCUAACAACAAGCACAUGAGCUGCAUCUCCCACAUUCAGGUUAUAGGAAACCCACAUAUUGCAUAUUGCUACUCCCCCGCAUGGGCUAUAGAAAACCUGCAGAGUGCGUAUGCAACUCCCACACUACAGAACUCUGUAAAGUGCUUCUAACUACACCGAGCGUACAGAAUCCCAUAAACUGCAUCUCUCACCACCCAGCUUACUGAACUCCAGUAAGCUGCGUCUCCUACAGUUAAGCUACACCAAAACCGCAAAUCGCGUAUUGCUACUCCCAAGCUACACAACACUGUAUACUGCUUUUCUAUAUACCAGGGAAACAGAACUCUCAUCAACUACAUUGCCCUUCACCAAUGUUACAAAACAACCGUUGCUGCAUCUCCCACACUCGUGUUAUGGAAAACCUGCAUAUUGUGCAUUGCUACUUCCAUGCUACAGAACUCUGUAAAGUACUUCUCUGUACAUCCAGGCUACAGAACUCUUGUAAACUGCUUCUCUCUAGACCCAGGAUACAGAAAUACUGCAAGCUGCGUUUGCUACACUCACGCUACGGAUAUCCCAGAUAUAGCGUACUCCAACUCCCAGGCUACAGAACUCUUGUAAACUGCUUCAUUCUACACCCAGGAUACGGAACUCUGUUAAACUGCAUCUCUCUACCCCAAUGUCACAAAAAGCACGUGAGCUGCAUCUCCUACACUCAGGCUAUAGAAAUCCCACUUAUUUCGAAUGUCUACUCCCAGGCUACAGAACUCUUGUAAGCUUCUUCUUUCUAGACCUAGGAUACAGAAAUACGGUAAGCUGUGUCUGCUGCACCAAGGCUACAGAUAUCCCAGAUAUUGCGAAUGCCUACUCCCAGGCUACAGAACUGGUGCAAACUGCUUCUCUCAAUACCCAGGUUACAGAAAUCCUGUACAGUGCGAAUGCCUACCCCCAGGCAUUCAUUCUACAGCUCAUAGCAAACCCGCAUAUUGCGUAUUGCUAGUCCCAGGCUCCAGAACUCUUGUAAACGCCUUCAUUCUACACCCAGGAUACAGAAUUCUGGUAAACUGCAUCUCUCUACCCAACCUAACAACAAGCACAUGAGCUGCAUCUCCCACAUUCAGGUUAUAGGAAACCCACAUAUUGUGUAUUGCACACUCCCACGCUACAGAACUCGGUAAACUGUUUCUCUCUGUAAGCAGCUUCCACAAUUCCCAUAAACUGCAUCUCUCCACACCCAGCUUAUAGAACUCCCGGAGGCUGCAUUUCCCUGCAACCACGUUACAGAACACCCAUUAGCUGCAUCUCCCACACACGGGCUAUAGAAAACCUGCAGAGUGCAUAUUGCUACUCCCACACGACAGAACUCUGUAAAGUGCUUCUAACUACACCGAGCGUACAGAAUCCCAUAAACUGCAUCUCUCACCACCCAGCUUACUGAACUCCCCUAAGCUGCGUCUCCUACAGUUAAGCUACACAAAAACCGCAAAUCGCGUAUUGCUACUCCCAAGCUACACAACACUGUAUACUGCUUUUCCAUAUACCAGGGAAACAGAACUCUCAUCAACUACAUUGCCCUUCACCAAUGUCACAAAACCCCCGUUACCUUGUCUCCCUCACUCGUGUUAUGGAAAACCUGCAUAUGGUGCAUUGCUACUUCCAUGCCACAGAACUCUGUAAAGUACUUCUCUGUACAUCCAGACUACAGAACUCUUGUACACUGCUUCUCUCUAGACCAAGGAUACAGAAAUACCGCAAGCUGUGUCUGCUAUACUCACGCUACAGAUGUUCCAGAUAUUGCGUACUCCUACUCCCAGGCUACAGAACUCUUGUACACUGCAUAUCCCAAGACCCAGGAUACUGAAAUACCACAAGCUGUGUCUUCUACACAUAAGCCACAGGUAUCCCAGAUAUUGGGAAUGCCUACUGCCAGGCUACAGAACUGGUGCAAACUGCUUCUCUCAACACUCAGGUUACUGAAAUCCUUUACAGUGCGAACGCCUACCCCCAGGCAUUCAUUCUACAGCUCAUAGCAAACCCGCAUAUUGCGUAUUGCUAGUCCCAGGCUCCAGAACUCUUGUAAACGCCUUCAUUCUACACCCAGGAUACAGAAUUCUGGUAAACUGCAUCUCUCUACCCAACCUAACAACAAGCACAUGAGCUGCAUCUCCCACAUUCAGGUUAUAGGAAACCCACAUAUUGCAUAUUGCUACUCCCCCGCAUGGGCUAUAGAAAACCUGCAGAGUGCGUAUGCAACUCCCACACUACAGAACUCUGUAAAGUGCUUCUAACUACACCGAGCGUACAGAAUCCCAUAAACUGCAUCUCUCACCACCCAGCUUACUGAACUCCAGUAAGCUGCGUCUCCUACAGUUAAGCUACACCAAAACCGCAAAUCGCGUAUUGCUACUCCCAAGCUACACAACACUGUAUACUGCUUUUCUAUAUACCAGGGAAACAGAACUCUCAUCAACUACAUUGCCCUUCACCAAUGUUACAAAACAACCGUUGCUGCAUCUCCCACACUCGUGUUAUGGAAAACCUGCAUAUUGUGCAUUGCUACUUCCAUGCUACAGAACUCUGUAAAGUACUUCUCUGUACAUCCAGGCUACAGAACUCUUGUAAACUGCUUCUCUCUAGACCCAGGAUACAGAAAUACUGCAAGCUGCGUUUGCUACACUCACGCUACGGAUAUCCCAGAUAUAGCGUACUCCAACUCCCAGGCUACAGAACUCUUGUAAACUGCUUCAUUCUACACCCAGGAUACGGAACUCUGUUAAACUGCAUCUCUCUACCCCAAUGUCACAAAAAGCACGUGAGCUGCAUCUCCUACACUCAGGCUAUAGAAAUCCCACUUAUUUCGAAUGUCUACUCCCAGGCUACAGAACUCUUGUAAGCUUCUUCUUUCUAGACCUAGGAUACAGAAAUACGGUAAGCUGUGUCUGCUGCACCAAGGCUACAGAUAUCCCAGAUAUUGCGAAUGCCUACUCCCAGGCUACAGAACUGGUGCAAACUGCUUCUCUCAAUACCCAGGUUACAGAAAUCCUGUACAGUGCGAAUGCCUACCCCCAGGCAUUCAUUCUACAGCUCAUAGCAAACCCGCAUAUUGCGUAUUGCUAGUCCCAGGCUCCAGAACUCUUGUAAACGCCUUCAUUCUACACCCAGGAUACAGAAUUCUGGUAAACUGCAUCUCUCUACCCAACCUAACAACAAGCACAUGAGCUGCAUCUCCCACAUUCAGGUUAUAGGAAACCCACAUAUUGUGUAUUGCUACUCCCACGCUACAGAACUCGGUAAACUGUUUCUCUCUGUAAGCAGCUUCCACAAUUCCCAUAAACUGCAUCUCUCCACACCCAGCUUAUAGAACUCCCGGAGGCUGCAUUUCCCUGCAACCACGUUACAGAACACCCAUUAGCUGCAUCUCCCACACACGGGCUAUAGAAAACCUGCAGAGUGCAUAUUGCUACUCCCACACGACAGAACUCUGUAAAGUGCUUCUAACUACACCGAGCGUACAGAAUCCCAUAAACUGCAUCUCUCACCACCCAGCUUACUGAACUCCCCUAAGCUGCGUCUCCUACAGUUAAGCUACACAAAAACCGCAAAUCGCGUAUUGCUACUCCCAAGCUACACAACACUGUAUACUGCUUUUCCAUAUACCAGGGAAACAGAACUCUCAUCAACUACAUUGCCCUUCACCAAUGUCACAAAACCCCCGUUACCUUGUCUCCCUCACUCGUGUUAUGGAAAACCUGCAUAUUGUGCAUUGCUACUUCCAUGCUACAGAACUCUGUAAAGUACUUCUCUGUACAUCCAGACUACAGAACUCUUGUACACUGCUUCUCUCUAGACCAAGGAUACAGAAAUACCGCAAGCUGUGUCUGCUAUACUCACGCUACAGAUGUUCCAGAUAUUGCGUACUCCUACUCCCAGGCUACAGAACUCUUGUACACUGCAUAUCCCAAGACCCAGGAUACUGAAAUACCACAAGCUGUGUCUUCUACACAUAAGCCACAGGUAUCCCAGAUAUUGGGAAUGCCUACUCCCAGGCUACAGAACUGGUGCAAACUGCUUCUCUCAACACUCAGGUUACUGAAAUCCUUUACAGUGCGAACGCCUACCCCCAGGCAUUCAUUCUACAGCUCAUAGCAAACCCGCAUAUUGCGUAUUGCUAGUCCCAGGCUCCAGAACUCUUGUAAACGCCUUCAUUCUACACCCAGGAUACAGAAUUCUGGUAAACUGCAUCUCUCUACCCAACCUAACAACAAGCACAUGAGCUGCAUCUCCCACAUUCAGGUUAUAGGAAACCCACAUAUUGCAUAUUGCUACUCCCCCGCAUGGGCUAUAGAAAACCUGCAGAGUGCGUAUGCAACUCCCACACUACAGAACUCUGUAAAGUGCUUCUAACUACACCGAGCGUACAGAAUCCCAUAAACUGCAUCUCUCACCACCCAGCUUACUGAACUCCAGUAAGCUGCGUCUCCUACAGUUAAGCUACACCAAAACCGCAAAUCGCGUAUUGCUACUCCCAAGCUACACAACACUGUAUACUGCUUUUCUAUAUACCAGGGAAACAGAACUCUCAUCAACUACAUUGCCCUUCACCAAUGUUACAAAACAACCGUUGCUGCAUCUCCCACACUCGUGUUAUGGAAAACCUGCAUAUUGUGCAUUGCUACUUCCAUGCUACAGAACUCUGUAAAGUACUUCUCUGUACAUCCAGGCUACAGAACUCUUGUAAACUGCUUCUCUCUAGACCCAGGAUACAGAAAUACUGCAAGCUGCGUUUGCUACACUCACGCUACGGAUAUCCCAGAUAUAGCGUACUCCAACUCCCAGGCUACAGAACUCUUGUAAACUGCUUCAUUCUACACCCAGGAUACGGAACUCUGUUAAACUGCAUCUCUCUACCCCAAUGUCACAAAAAGCACGUGAGCUGCAUCUCCUACACUCAGGCUAUAGAAAUCCCACUUAUUUCGAAUGUCUACUCCCAGGCUACAGAACUCUUGUAAGCUUCUUCUUUCUAGACCUAGGAUACAGAAAUACGGUAAGCUGUGUCUGCUGCACCAAGGCUACAGAUAUCCCAGAUAUUGCGAAUGCCUACUCCCAGGCUACAGAACUGGUGCAAACUGCUUCUCUCAA